rnacentral:rRNA from 1 species
UACGAAGGACCCAAGCGUUAUCCGGAUUUAUUGGGUUUAAAGGGUGCGUAGGCGGAUUAUUAAGUCAGUGGUGAAAGCCUGCAGCUUAACUGCAGAACUGCCAUUGAUACUGAUGAUCUUGAGUAUGAUUGAGGUGGGCGGAAUGUGUCAUGUAGCGGUGAAAUGCUUAGAUAUGACACAGAACACCGAUUGCGAAAGGCAGCUCACUAAGCCAUAACUGACGCUGAUGCACGAAAGCCGUGGGGAGCCAAACAGG